UACGAGUGGUGCAAGCGUUAUUCGGAAUCAUUGGGCGUAAAGGGUGCGUAGACGGCAUAUUAAGUCUGUUGUUAAAUCCCUCGGCUUAACCGAGGAUAUGCGGCGGAUACUGAUGUGCUUGAGGAUGGAAGAGAGAAGUGGAAUUCUCGGAGUAGCGGUAAAAUGCGUAGAUCUCGAGAGGAACACCGAUGGCGAAGGCAGCUUCUUGGUCCAUUCCUGACGUUGAGGCACGAAAGCGUGGGGAGCAAACAGG
rnacentral:rRNA from 1 species